rnacentral:rRNA from 1 species
CGAGCGGCGGACGGCAGAGUACGCGUAGGAACACUACCCAACUGGAGGAUAACUGCUCGAAAGAGUAGCUAAUACCGCAUGUGAUCUUCGGAUUAAAGCUUCGGCGGUUUGGGAAUGGCCUGCGUCCGAUUAGCUUGUUGGUGAGGUAAAAGCUCACCAAGGCGACGAUCGGUAGCUGGUCUGAGAGGAUGAUCAGCCUGACUGGAACUGAGAACGGUCCAGACUCCUACGGGAGGCAGCAGUAGGGAAUUUUCCACAAUGGGCGAAAGCCUGAUGGAGCAACGCCGCGUGCAGGAUGAAUGCCUUCGGGUUGUAAACUGCUUUUAUUAGUGAAGAAUAUGACGGUAACUAAUGAAUAAGGGUCGGCUAACUACGUG